CAUCUAGUGCUAGGGGAGAAGACUCAUAAAAAUAAAAAAUGGGAAGAAUUUAUAACCUAAUCCCCGUGCCCAAAAAGGCUGGAAUACCCUAUCGAGGGUUUAUAUUCACUUCAAUAUUAUUCGGAGUCGGUGGCGGGAUAUUAUCCGAUGUUCUAAACUACUGGGAUUGGUACUUUCACCCAGAGAAAGUAACAUUUAAGUUAGGCCUGCAAGAAGUUGGAGACAUGAAGAAACGUAGUUAGAUUGUAUUUGUGGAUAUGGAUGACUUCAGAUGUAAAGAGAACAGUGUAGAUGGAUUUUUAGUCUUGAUUGUACCUAUAAUGAACAGGAAGUGGACAAAACAAAUUAUCAGUGGCUUUCUUUGGUUUACACAGAUUUUUAAAAUUUAUAAUGUGAGAUUUGAAUUACAUGUUUUUUAUUAUUACACAAUUAACUCCUAAAAGUAUAGUCAUAUUUUUGUGAUUAUAUUUAUAUUUUAUUGUACAAUUUUGGCUUUAGAAAAAAAAUAUAUCAAACAGA